rnacentral:rRNA from 1 species
UACGUAGGGAGCAAGCGUUGUCCGGAAUCAUUGGGCGUAAAGCGCGCGUAGGUGGCUCUGUAAGUCCGUUGUGAAAGUCAAAGGCUCAACCUUUGAAAGCCGAUGGAUACUGCAGAGCUAGAGUCCGGAAGAGGCGAGUGGAAUUCCUGGUGUAGCGGUGGAAUGCGCAGAUAUCAGGAGGAACACCAAUAGCGAAGGCAGCUCGCUGGGACGGUACUGACACUAAGGCGCGAAAGCGAUGGGGAGCGAACGAGGA